GAUGAACGCUAGCGGCAGGCUUAAUACAUGCAAGUCGUGGGGCAGCAUGAGUAGCAAUACUUGAUGGCGACCGGCAAACGGGUGCGGAACACGUACACAACCUUCCGAUAAGUGGGGAAUAGCCCAGAGAAAUUUGGAUUAAUACCCCGUAACAUAUAGAGUAGGCAUCUUCUUUAUAUUAUAGCUUCGGCGCUUAUUGAUGGGUGUGCGUCUGAUUAGGUAGUUGGCGGGGUAACGGCCCACCAAGCCUACGAUCAGUAGCUGAUGUGAGAGCAUGAUCAGCCGCACGGGCACUAGGACACGGGCCCGACUCCUACGGGAGGCAGCAGUAAGGAAUAUGGGACAAUGGGCGAAAGCCUGAUCCAGCCAUGCCGCGUGAAGGAUUAAGGUCCUCUGGAUUGUAAACUUCUUUUAUUUGGGACGAAAAAAGGGAAUUCUUUCCCACUUGACGGUACCAAGUGAAUAAGCACCGGCUAACUCCGUGCCAGCAGCCGCCGUAA
rnacentral:rRNA from 1 species